UACGUAGGGGGCAAGCGUUGUCCGGAAUCAUUGGGCGUAAAGAGCGUGUAGGCGGCUCGAUACGUCUGCUGUGAAAGUCCAGGGCUCAACCCUGGAAGGCCGGUGGAAACUGUCGGGCUAGAGUCCGGAAGAGGCGAGUGGAAUUCCCGGUGUAGCGGUGAAAUGCGCAGAUAUCGGGAGGAACACCAAUGGCGAAGGCAGCUCGCUGGGACGGUACUGACGCUGAGACGCGAAAGCGUGGGGAGCAAACAGG
rnacentral:rRNA from 1 species